rnacentral:lncRNA from 1 species
GUUGAGAACCGUUACUUGACUGGUACCUCCAGCCCACCAGCAGGCAAUGAUGGCAUCAGACUAGAGGAUCACCAGUAAAUCAUUGUAAACAAGCGUGGAAAGAGAGAAAGUCCACUUUAAGCGAUGGAAAAUCAGCCCCAAUUCUGAAGGAACAACCAUGAACAGAUGAUUUAAGGAGAAUCAAUUCUUUGCUCUUUGCAGAAGGAGCCAACAGAGUGAGAUGAAGGGGACAACUUCAGAUACUCAGGCAGAAGGAAUUCUGCAGGUUCUUGCAGGACUCCACAUAUUGUCUAUCACAGCAUAUUGCAGACAGGUUCCCAGGAAGCAGAUUCUGAGUUGGUGAUUUGCAUGCAGGAAGUUUAUGGAGAAUUGUUUCUGAAAUCAGCUCCUGUGGGGAAAUGAAGACAGCAGGACUGGGCAAAAGGAAACAUUGAACUGGGAUGAGAUCACAAAGAAGGCAUCAGGGAGGGCUGGAGCCAGACUGGGACUUCAGAGUGGCCCCACAUUGAAGAAGAGAAGCUUGGUUUUUAAACUCACACUCUCUCCCCAACCAGGACAAGUUAUGCAGGUGGUCCCCCAGAAGAAACUGUGACUUUGGAGUUGGUGGCGUUUUUCAGCAAAUGGCAAUUCCCAAAAAGGGAUCCAGCUGCAUGCAGUUGCUGUCAAUGCUCUCAGCAGCUGAGGGAAUGAGUGCCUGCGUCAUGGAGAGGAAUGCAGGUGGUACGCCCCGACACUCACUACACUGUCAAGCACAAGAGGGCAUUUCUAGCAACUCAGUUGGAAACGCUCUCAAUGAUGUUUAACAAAAGGAUAGAAUUACUUAUGGUGGCAGAAUAAUGGCCCCUGAAGAUAUCUAUGCUGUGAUUCCCAAAGCCUGUGACUAUGUUACAUUACAUGGCAAAAGGCCUUUGCAGAUGUGAUUAAGGUUAAGGACCUUGAGAUGGGUUGAUUAUCCUGGAUUAUAGAGUGAACUUGGCUCCAUGCAUUGAUGGAGAAGAAAGACACCCGAGGGCUCCAUUCUGCAGGAUGAGUCUGCAGGGAUCUCCUUGCCAGCUAUGGAAGUCAGUAUGACAGCUUCAGCUACCUACAGUCCACUUGCCAGCAUAAGUCCCCACCUGCUGACCUGCUGCCUGCUAUCUUAACACGAAUUCUUCAUCUGAAUGGAUGAGCUUUUCACAGAGUUCCAAACUAAGGAAUCCAGGAGUGGCCAAUCCAGAGAUUCAUUCCUUAUCUUUGACGAACAUCUGAACUCCUGGCUCAUCCUGUGGAAUUCAGGCCAUACAGGAGAUCAAGGUCAUUUGCUUUGGGUUAAAUGAAUGUUGCCAGGUGGAGGUUGCUAGAGGGAGAGUGCUAUGUGAAAGUGCUGUAUAAACUGCUUGCUUUUCACAAACAGUAGUGAUUCUUUAUCCUGUCCAGCCUGCCACAACUGGACCAUCCUGUAUGUAAGUCCCCUUAAUAAAUCCUGUGUCUCAUUCACUGGCUUCAAGUCUCUUCCUGGGCCUCUUGAACGUGGUGCCACCUGUAUUGAAGUCAACAGAAGUUCAGCACAACACAGGUCAAAAUGAAGAUUCUGACUCAGUAGGUCAGGAUGUUCUAACGAGCUCUAGCUGACAUGAUACGUCAGGGCUGCAGACUAGCUUUGAGCAACAAGGUGCUAGAGAAAUACCUAUAG